AUUGAACGCUGGCGGCAGGCCUAACACAUGCAAGUCGAGCGCGAAAGUCUUCGGAUGAGUAAAGCGGCGAACGGGUGAGUAACGCGUGGGAAUCUGCCCAGUAGUGGGGGACAACAGUCGGAAACGACUGCUAAUACCGCAUACGCCCUACGGGGGAAAGGGGGGGAUCGCAAGACCUCUCGCUAUUGGAUGAGCCCGCGUCGGAUUAGCUAGUUGGUGAGGUAAAGGCUCACCAAGGCGACGAUCCGUAACUGGUCGGAGAGGAUGAUCAGUCACACUGGAACUGAGACACUGUCCAGACUCCUACGGGAGGCAGCAGUGGGGAAUAUUGGACAAUGGGGGCAACCCUGAUCCAGCCAUGCCGCGUGUGUGAAGAAGGCCCUAGGGUUGUAAAGCACUUUCAGUGGGGAGAAAAGUGAUUCACCUAAUACGUGAGUCAAUUGAUGUUACCCACAGAAGAAGCACCGGCUAACUCCAUGCCAGCCGCCGCGGUAAAAC
rnacentral:rRNA from 1 species